GGCUUCUUUCACCCUGACGUCUGACUUUUACCGUGCAGAGACCAGAAGUCCUCAGGUUUGAUAUCCUCAGUCCCGGGGGACUUUGAGACUACUCGUAAUCUCAAGAGUGACUUGGGCUGUAGCCAGGAUUGACUAUUCCACUGUGAGGGCUAAAUUGAAAAAGGAACAAAGGCAUCUGAAACGUCUUUGGAACCCCCUCUGAAUAUAUCUGGUGGUGUAUAAGCAGCUAACAGACAUUGGGCCCAGCAGAACUAAUUGACUGUGUGGUCUCUUAUGCUAUUAAAUUCUUUUUGGAAGUUGAAGCAUCAUCCUUUGAUUAAAAACUGUGUGCAGGGAUGGCCUUUCAAUUCAAUUUCAGUAUAGAAGAAGAUCUGGAAAAUAAAUUAACUUCCCUCGAUGAUGGAACUUGUGUGUUCAGUCUUUGUUAGUUCCUUGUCUCCCUGAAGCGCCUGGCUAGAUCGUUAAGGACUUGUAUCCCUGAAUAAUACUGACCUCAAGCAUUUGGUCAAAGGCCUAUGUUAACUCAGAAGACUUUAUUGAUUUGCAUUAUGUCAAAGUGUUAGCACACUAGGCAAUUGGCUGCAUUAAGUUAGAUGGAGUGGUUUGUAUAUGCUUGGUCCAGGGAGUGGCACUAUUAAAGGGUGUAGCCCUGUUGGAGUAAGUGUGUCACUGUGAGUGUGAGCUAUAAAACCCUCAUCCCAGCUGCCUGGAUGUCAGUAUUCUGCUAGCAGCCUUCAGAUGAAGAUGUAGAACUCUCAGCUCCUCCUGCACCAUGCCUGCCUGGAUGCUGCCAUGUUACUUGCUUUGAUGAUAAUGGACUGAACCUCU
rnacentral:lncRNA from 1 species